CGCGGCGCGGGGCAGCGCUGAAAGUUGGGCGGCCCGCGGGGAGCGGCGCGGGACGGGCCCGAGGCGCGGAGACCCGGAGACCAACGGACAGACCCACCGGCAGCCGGGGAGGGGGGGCGGCGCCGGCCCGCCGAGUUCGCGGGGAGGGGGCGCCGGGACUCCCCUCUCCCCGCCCGGGACGCCGCCCGCCCGAUCGCGCCGUGGGAUGUAGAGCCCGCUCGCCGCCUCCUGGACCUUCGUCGGACCCUCCGCCCCGCGGAAAGCCCCAAGGAAAGAGAGGUCUGAAUGAGCCCCUGAGCAGGGAAACUUCCCUGCCUCCCCACCAGCGUCAACAUCACACUUCUGCCUCCAGUGCCUAGGCUCUAAGAUGGGGCGACAAUGCGGGGAGAUGGUAGGUGGGAGUGUGGUGGAGGGACUAGAGGCAGGGCAUCCUGGCUAAGACGGCAAGCAGGGCCUCGAGACCAGUAGGAUGCUGAGCAGCAGGUUGAGGGAACGGGGAGCUGAGGGACGGAGGUCCCAGGGCCAUGCACCGCA
rnacentral:lncRNA from 1 species